rnacentral:rRNA from 1 species
GUCCCUGAGUAAACCGGCGCACGGGUGAGUAACACGUAGGUAACGUACCCUUGAGUCUGGGAUAACCAGUCGAAAGACUGGCUAAUACCAGAUACGACCUCGGAGGUUCCGGUCUCUGAGGUGAAAGAUGGCCUCUGCAUGCAAGCUAUCACUCAUGGAUCGGCCUGCGCACCAUUAGCUAGUUGGUGAGGUAAGAGCUCACCAAGGCUGAGAUGGUUAGCUGGUCUGAGAGGAUGGCCAGCCACACUGGGACUGAGACACGGCCCAGACUCCUACGGGAGGCAGCAGUGGGGAAUAUUGCGCAAUGGGCGAAAGCCUGACGCAGCGACGCCGCGUGGGUGAUGAAGGCCUUCGGGUCGUAAAGCCCUGUCGGGAGGGAAGAAACAGCCCCGACCUAAUACGUCGGGGUAUUGACGGUACCUCCUAAGGAAGCACCGGCUAACUCCGUGCCAGCAGCCGCGGUAA